AGAGUUUGAUCCUGGCUCAGGAUGAACGCUAGCUACAGGCUUAACACAUGCAAGUCGAGGGGAAACGACAUCGAAAGCUUGCUUUUGAUGGGCGUCGACCGGCGCACGGGUGAGUAACGCGUAUCCAACCUGCCCACCACUUGGGGAUAACCUUGCGAAAGUAAGACUAAUACCCAAUGACGUCUCUAGAAGACAUCUGAAGGAGAUUAAAGAUUUAUCGGUGAUGGAUGGGGAUGCGUCUGAUUAGCUUGGUUGGCGGGGUAACGGCCACCAAGGCGACGAUCGAGUAGGGGUUCUGGAGACGGAAGGUCCCCCAGAUUGGAACUGAGACACGGUCCCAAACGUCCGUACGGGAGGCCA
rnacentral:rRNA from 1 species